UACGUAGGGGGCAAGCGUUGUCCGGAUUUAUUGGGCGUAAAGAGCGUGUAGGCGGCCAGGUAGGUCUGCUGUGAAAACUCGAGGCUCAACCCCGAGACGUCGAUGGAAACCAUCUGGCUAGAGUCCGGAAGAGGAGAGUGGAAUUCCUGGUGUAGCGGUGAAAUGCGUAGAUAUCGUAAGGAAGACCAGUGGCGAAGGCGGGUCUCUGGACAGUUCCUGACGCUGAGGCACGAAGGUCAGGGGAGCAAACGGG
rnacentral:rRNA from 1 species